GAGUUGUGGCUUUUGUUUGUACAGUUUCCUCACCUGUUAUUGUGAGAAAUAUUUUUUUUCUUGUUGCCCUAACAUUUAAGCAUUUAAAAAUGGAUGUCAUAAGAUCUGAAAACAUCAAAGUGCCUAAUGCCUUGUUAGUCAGUGGAUUGUCUCAUUCUGAGGCUGAUGAUUAUAUUUUUGAGUUCCUACGUACAUAUGGCACUGUAAGCAGAGUCUUGCAGAUAGAUAGCCCAGAUCCAGUUUUUCUGAAUACUGCUGUUGUAGAGUACGACAGUGGCGCAGCUAUAGAGAAACUUAAGUAUGAACUACCUUUUUCCAAAAUGUCCCCUUCUGAACCAAGUGUGAUUCAUCACAUUAAACUGCUGUCUACUCUAUUUACCACAUCUCUCGGAUCUAGCCUUACCAGUAGCUAUAUAACAGAACUGAAAAAUGUUGCAAAAUUAGGUGGCAUAGACUUUGAAGCAUUGCUUCAAGAAGAGUUAGCCAGAAUCCGAGUGUCCACUAAAAGUGAAUCUUCCACACAAGAUGUAAGCUUGGGGAAAUCCCCAAGCUGUCAUUUAAACAGGGCUGAUGUAUCCAUACGGAUAGAUGAGGAUGAGGAUGUAAUUCAAGGAACUUGCCCUUUUCCAAAAGGGAACACUCAAAGCCCUUUACCCAGAAUCUUGACUUGUUCAGUUCCCACUUCUGCAACAGCCAUACGCUUACCAGUUGAUCAGCUAAGUACCCCUGAUGUUCAAAGAUUAGUCGUCGAGCACAUAGUGAAGGGUGAUGAUGUUUCUUCCAGGCAUCGCUCUCUGAAACUAAGAUCCUUCUCUGGGAAAAGUCCUGUUCCAGCAAUGGAAGUUGAUUAUGAAACAUGGCGGAGCCACAUUGACUUCUAUCUCAAGGAUUCUUCUUUUCCUGAUCUGCAAGUGGUUAGGAAAAUUGUUGAAAGUCUCUUGUCUCCUGCAGCGACCAUGGUGAAGCAUUUAGGCCCUCAGGCGAGUUCUGCUUGUUAUUUAAGUUUGUUGGAUUCUGCUUAUGCUGCUGUGGGCGAUGGAGACGAACUCUUUGCAAAGUUUCUUAGUACAAAUCAGAAUGCUGGCGAGAAACCUUCUGCUUAUUUACAUAGGCUGCAGAUCUCUCUCAGUGCAGUAGUAAAGAGAGGUGGACUACCUGCCAGUCAAAUGGACCGCCAGUUGCUGAAACAAUUCUGCAGAGGAUGCUGGAACAACAGCUUGAUCACAAAUCUCCAGCUUGAGCGGAAAUUAGAUAACCCACCAUCUCUAUCUGAGUUCAUGCUUCUGCUACGGACAGAGGAAGACAAACAAGCCGCAAAGUCAAGCCGCAUGAAACAGCAUCUUGGCUUUCCAAAAGCAAAAGCUCAGUCCAACUUGCAUGCUGUGUGUGACCCUUUUGCUGCUGAGGUUGACAUGUUUUCUGUUACCUCUGACCUCCCCUCAGAAACCAAGAAAAUGAGAAUGCAAAUAGCUGA
ensembl:lncRNA